AUUCGCACCUGACUGUGAUAGCCCUCUCGAUACCUUAUUGGAGCUUUGUAACUAGUAGCCGAUUUCCCGUCGCGUCAGCCUUUUCCCAGUGUGCGGAGCCCACUAAGAGGAGUUACAGUUUGAAAAUAGGGAACAGAUUUUGAGAACACAAAAACGAUACAUACGUGUUACGAUCAUGAAUGGACCGAUCAUGACAUGUGACGGUCAUCCCACCUUUCCCUUUACCUGGACCUUCGUUGAGGCUAUAAAUAGACACUCAUGGUUCCUCCAUAAUACUCGUACAACAUCGUCAAAGUUCCUUGAAUUUUAAUACUUUUCUUUCAUCAAUCUUAUCAGAAAAAAAACAUGUCUUGCUGUGGUGGAUCUUGUGGGGGACCGGUGGUACCUACGACUCCGAAGCUGAGGGAAAUGGGAGAAUUCUGUGCUGAGAAUGGCUGCAAAUGUGGAUCUGACUGCAAGUGUGACCCUUGCACUUGUUCUAAAUGAACAAACUAAAGUUUAACAGAGCAGAGAUCAUGGUUAAAUAACUAGUCUUAAAUUGUCGAGUUUAUAGUUUUGUGUCUUUUGAAACAGGGAAAGGCUAUGUGUUUUUUCCCUGUAAUAAGAAAUAGUAAUGUUUAUAAGUAGUAGUAAUGUGGUUUGUGUAAGCGAGCAUCUCUGCAUCUGGUAAUGUUAACAUAUUAGUGUUUGGAA